rnacentral:sRNA from 1 species
GCUGGGCAUGGUGGCGCAAGCCUAUAAUCCCAGCUGCUUCAGAGGCUCAGGCGGGAGGAUCAUGGGUGCAAAGCCAGCCCCAGCAAUUUAUCAAGGCCCUAAGCAACUCAGUGAGACCCUGUCUCUA